UACGGGGGGGGCAAGCGUUGUUCGGAAUUACUGGGCGUAAAGGGCUCGUAGGUGGCCAACUAAGUCAGACGUGAAAUCCCUCAGCUUAACUGGGGAACUGCGUCUGAUACUGGAUGGCUUGAGUUUGGGAGAGGGAUGCGGAAUUCCCGGUGUAGUGGUGAAAUGCGUAGAUAUCGGGAGGAACACCAGUGGCGAAGGCGACUACCUGGCCUGUUCUUGACGCUGAGGCGCGAAAGCGUGGGGAGCAAACAGG
rnacentral:rRNA from 1 species